rnacentral:piRNA from 1 species
UGUUGUAAGUGUUGUUUGACCUCCAAAGGG